UACGUAGGUGGCAAGCGUUGUCCGGAUUUAUUGGGCUUAAAGGGUGCGUAGGCGGUCCUAUAAGUCAGUGGUGAAAUAUCGCAGCUCAACUGUGAGGGUGCCAUUGAUACUGUAGGACUUGAGUGAAUUUGAGGUAGGCGGAAUUGACGGUGUAGCGGUGAAAUGCUUAGAUAUCGUCAAGAACACCGAUAGUGAAGACAGCUUACCAAGCUUCAACUGACGCUGAGGCACGAAAGUGUGGGGAUCAAACAGG
rnacentral:rRNA from 1 species